AUGUCUUCUAAUGGUCAAUCCAUCAGUCCCUCAGUACCCAUCAGUCCCUCAGUACCCAUCAGUCCCUCAGUACCCAUCAGUCCCUCAAUACCCAUCAGUCCCUCAAUACCCAUCAGUCCCUCAAUACCCAUCAGUCCCUCAAUAGGCAUCAGUCCCUCAAUACCAUCAGUCACUCAAUACCAUCAGUCCCUCAAUACCCAUCAGUCCCUCAGUACCCAUCAGUCCCUCAGUACCCAUCAGUCCCUCAAUACCCAUCAGUCCCUCAGUACCCAUCAGUCCCUCAGUACCCAUCAGUCCCUCAAUACCCAUCAGUCCCUCAGUACCCAUCAGUCCCUCAAUACCCAUCAGUCCCUCAAUACCCAUCAGUCCCUCAAUAGGCAUCAGUCCCUCAAUACCAUCAGUCACUCAAUACCAUCAGUCCCUCAAUACCCAUCAGUCCCUCAGUACCUAUCAGUCCCUCAAUACCCAUCUGUCCCUCAAUACCCAUCAGUCCCUCAGUACCCAUCAGUCCUUCAAUACCCAUCUGUCCCUCAAUACCCAUCAGUCCUUCAAUACCCAUUAGUCCCUCAAUACCAUCAGUCACUCAAUACCAUCAGUCCCUCAAUACCCAUCAGUCCCUCAGUACCCAUCAGUCCCUCAGUACCCAUCAGUCCCUCAAUACCCAUCAGUCCCUCAAUACCCAUCAGUCCCUCAAUACCCAUCAGUCCCUCAAUAGGCAUCAGUCCCUCAAUACCAUCAGUCACUCAAUACCAUCAGUCCCUCAAUACCCAUCAGUCCCUCAGUACCUAUCAGUCCCUCAAUACCCAUCUGUCCCUCAAUACCCAUCAGUCCUUCAAUACCCAUCUGUCCCUCAGUACCCAUCAGUCCCUCAGUACCCAUCAGUCCCUCAAUACCCAUCAGUCCCUCAGUACCCAUCAGUCCCUCAGUACCCAUCAGUCCCUCAAUACCCAUCAGUCCCUCAAUACCCAUCAGUCCCUCAGUACCUAUCACUGGCAGCAUGAAUGA
rnacentral:lncRNA from 8 species